rnacentral:lncRNA from 1 species
CCUAAUUUCCCUCACUAUACACAAACAAAAGAGGAAAACGUAAGUAAAUCUCUGUUUUUUGUCUUUUGUUUUUGAGACAAAGAGUCUCGCUCUGUUGUCCAGGCUGGAGCGCAGUGGUGCACUCUCGGCUCACUGCAACCUCUGCCUCCCAGGUUCAAGCAAUUCUCCUGCCUCAGCCUCCCGAGUAACUGCGAUUACACACACGUGCCACCACGCCCAGCUAAUUUUUGUAUUUUUAGUAGAGAUGGGGUUUCACCAUGUUGGCCAGGCUGGUCUCAAACUCCUGACCUCCAAUGACCCACCCGCCUUGGCUUCCCUCCCAAAGUGCUGGGAUUACAGGUGUGAGCCACCGCACCCAGCCGAUCUCUGUUAUUUCUGAAUGUCCUCACCAUCAGAGCCCCUUCACCUGAGCACCCCCAACUCAUGGCGCCGAUGUCUGUGAGCCCCCAUGCAGCGUCACCCUCUGGGUCGUCAUCAGGAGCCACAAGACGGGGCGCUUCUGCUAAGAGGGGCCCACUGCUGUGUCUUCCAAGCUGAUGACACCCACUCCAAGUGUGAAUGCUGGUCUCUUCUAGAACAAGUUGGGGGAGGGUUUUCCGCAACAAGAACCCCUACUCCUUCCUCAGUUGGUCCGUACGUGGUUUGUGGACUGGGGUGUCAAGGCUGCAGUUGUCCACAUGGCACCAGGAAUAACCGCCAAGUUCACGUGUGAUUAGAGAUUUCUUAUGCUGAUUGUUUUUUUAAUUCACAUGUGAGCAGACAACGGCAACUGCAGCCCGGAUGCCGCACUUGCUGUCAGACGCAUCCCAAUUCAGAGACGCUGGGGUGGGAAAGAAUGUGUGUCAGAUUGCAUGAAACAGAUCAGAACGCGCACCCCGCUCUGGAGUUUGCAGAGCACUUACUCAUUCAUUAACUAUCUCAUUCGAUUUUAAACACAUCAAUGGAAAGUAUUUUUAUCUGUACCUUACUGUAGGGAUCGGAGAUCCAGAAGCUAUGCAUUCCCUGGCCACAUAGCUACUGCGUGGCAGGGCCCAGAUCCAAGCCCAAGCUUUCUGCCUCCAGAGUCGACAUUCUGUUUAAAAUCAGGGAAAUACCAAGGUGGAGGAGAGAAAGUUGGUGGCUUUAAAAAGCUAUUUUAAAAACUAUCUGUUGUCAAGGUCUUGAGGGGACCCAAAUAACAUCACCCUUCUUCCCACCCAAGUUCUGGACCGAAUAAGAAACGAGACAAAUGUGUCUGCAGAUGGAGAACCAAAGUCUCUGUUGUUAUGAGUGAGGCCAGGCAGGCCGUGCAGCUCUGCAGGAGAGUCAGGUGGGCUCCUGCCCCGGAGCAGACCAACUGGAGGCUGAGCUGGCGGGACAGACACACUCACCACCCCCUGCCUCACCCCGAUCCAGCCGAGAGGGGACAAGGAAGAGAUGGGAUGCCUUCAGCACACAGCCUGGCAUAUUUUGUCUGAAUCGACCUGGCAAGGGUGGACCAUGGGCUGUCACCCACCAGGAAGUUCCCUGUGCCACCAAGGGGAGGAGGGAGGGCCAGGGGCCACAAGGUCCCACAUGGGUGUCCUUCACUGGGAGAGAACAUCAGGAGUGCACACUAAACACCCCCACCCAACCCCACACGGUUCGUCUUGGUUCUGGGGCUAUCGGAAGGUUUCAUCUCGGGAGAGCUGCCCUCCUGUUUGAUGGGAACCCCGCCCGUGGCCUUAGGAUGACACGGAGAUGAUGCCCAGAGCCUGCUGUGAAGUCAGGGAGGCUGAGACAGAGGAGCUGAGCUGCUCUGUGCAGCAACUGUCAUGUGGUCCAGUCUAGAUUCACUCAAGAAAGCAGUCAGUUACUCUAUGGAUUUCAGGAAAGGGGGUUCCAUAUGAGAAUGAAGGUUUUUACAACUGUGGGGGUGGCUGGGGGAGGCAGGUCUGGAGUGGUGAUAGUCACUAACUCAUCCACCUGAAGCCUGGGAGCAGGGAGGAAACCAGAGCAUUGGGGGAGUCCCAGGAACCGAGGCCACCUGUGUCCAGCCCCCCAACACUUCACUUGGCACCGGUGCUAGGGAGGCUCGGUGGAGCCACUGGGCCUGCUACAGCCACCGCAUCAACAAAGCCAUGGGGUGUGACCAUCCUCAUGGUGGCCACCAGUACCUCCCACACACCCCAGCUCCGCUCAUCCUCCCCCAAACCUCACAUGCAUUCAGCAUCUGCCACCCCAACUCCCAUCCCAGCAAGAUAGGUUCUGGGACACGUAGCCUCCAGUCGUGGCAGGGAUGGCGAGCUGACCGAAGACGCUCUAGCCCUCCGGCUGCAGUGAGAGACGCAGGUGUCCGAAUGUUCAGGAGAGAGGGGCGCUCCAGCUGCAGGAACCGAGAGGGGUUGCUGGCUAGGGGUGUGGACAGAACUCCCAUGGAGGGCCCCGGGUGGAGGAGGGACCAACGACUGUGCAGAACGGUGGGAGUCAAGGUUCCUCUUAAAUCUCUUCCCUUUCUGGGACAUUCGGGAGUCAAGGGACUCAAGGGCGGCCAUCGCAGAGCCAGGUGGGGUGUUGGGAGCGCUGAGGGAGGAUGCUGACAUGGCCGCCCAGAGCAGGGCUGAGGGCCACAGCCAGUGCUGCCCUGGGGAAACAGUAAGCCCCCGUGGGGUCAGACAAAGUAGGAUGAUGGCAGUCCCAGAGGACAGGCGCGGGGUGCACGUUACGUUUUCCUGGGGAAGGCGAGGCCACAGUGACACAGCCAUCCCUGAUGUGGUCCAAGAACCCAAACACUGACUCCAGCAAAUAGCGAGGUCAAUACCCACGCUCACCCACAUUCCUGGAUGUCACCACGAAGGGCCCAGCCAAGUCCACGGGGCUGCUCUCGAGCCCUCGGUGGCUGCAGGGGCCAUAGGUCUUGGCUGGCUCUCGCGUCCGGCGGCAUCCCCGCACAGACCCCUGGCUUUCCCGCCGGAGAUGGUUUCACAUCAGGAUGCUGAGAGCCGCAGCCCUGCCCCAGCACUGCCGGCCCCUCCUUCAGCCUCAGUGUGGUCUCAGGUGCCAGGACCAACCUCGCUGUGUGUUUCCUGUUCAUUUCCAUCUCCCCAGUGAGACCCCGGCCUUCACGACGUAUUCGGGCAGCUGCAUUCACUGCUGAGACCCCCGGAGUCUACCUCAAUAUCAGCACAUAAUAGAUAUUCAGUAAAAACCUGAAGAACACGCUGGGAGCGGCAGCUACGCCUGGAAUCCCAGCACUGUGGGAGGCCGAGGCAGGUGGAUCACUUGAGGCCAGGAGUUUGAGACCAGCCUGGCCACAUGGUGAAACCCCACCUCAACCAAAAAUAUAAAAAAUUAGCCGAGUGUGGUGGUGCAUGCUUAUAAUCCCAGCUACUUGGGUGGCUGAGGCAGGAGAACCUGGGAGGCAGAGGUUACAGGGAGCUGAGAUCGUGCCAUUGCACUCCAGCCUGGGCAACACAGUGAGACUCCAUCUCAAAAAAAAAAAAAAAAAAAAACAACUUGAUGAUCAGAUAGAUGAUCAAUACUUCAAGUGGUUUCCAGCCCAAACCUGUCCAGUCAAGGCCCCAAACGAGAACCUCCUGGUUUCAUUAACACUAGGUUUGCCUAAUGGCAACACUGGCCAAACCUAAUGUUGAUACAAUUUUACUUUCAGGCCUUUCCCUAAAUGGGAAAAAAAAAAAAAGUAUUAUCAUUUGUCAGUGUCUUUCAAAUGCUUGGAACAGAGAGGGCGACCUGCGGACCUGGGCUUGGCCUGCCUGAGCAUCCCUGGGAGGAGGCAUCCCCACCAUGUCUCCAGGAAGGGGAGGGGAUUACAGCACCCCGAGUCCAGGGGACCCCCAGAAAGCACAUCCAGCCACCCUCCAUCCACACCGACCAGGCCUCACCCACCCAGCUGGCCCAGGAGCUGGUCGCCAGACAAACCCAGUCCUGGUGAGGUCAGAGGCAGGUUCGAGGAGGAGGCCUGAGGCAGGAACAGAAAUGUUGACCAGGGUGUUGGUGGGGGCGGCACCGAAACCCACGUCUGCCUCCAAGAGCAAGCAGCUCAGCCUCUCUCUGCCUAGGCCUCUCCUUCAGGCUCGUGCAGUUCCAGCCCACAGAGCUGUGGAUAGCUGCGGCAGACACAACAGAAGCAGCCAGCCGGUGUGUGGCCUGCACAUCUCGGGGGCUCAGCAGGUGGCACGGCUGUGAUUGUGAGGUGGCCAUGUGUGAGGAUGACCUGCACCUAGGCUGGCUGAGGCUCUGCUCCUAGGAGAUGAGGUUGCGGACAGGCGGUCUGCUUGAGGGGAGCCCAAAUGCCAGCCCGGGGUGGUGGGCCCCUCGGUCAGCCCAGGUCAGGCCAGGGUUGCACGCCCCUGGAAGCCACAGCUCCAUUCCCGUGGGCUUGGCUGUACUCACUCGAUGCCAGGCCCCAGCAGCACCAGGUAGCAGCUCCCUGGACACGGGAAGACCAUGCCUGCAUCUGUGUUAGCGCUGGCUGUGGGGGCCCAGGGACCUGUCUGACCCCAUGGCCAGCAGCUGGCCCUGGGGAGAGCAGGGCCUUCAGGACGGCACUCCCAGACCUCACUUUGUUUAGGAUCCGCUCGCUGCCAGACCUUCAGGGUGCAGUCUCUCCUCACAGGUCCUGUGGCGUCGCACCCGCUGAAAACCGUAGCCCCGUCAGGCUCAGGAGGGGCAGGAGGGGCAGGAGGAGCCGGCACCCACGUGGGCUUCACCCUGCUCCUGAUGACAGGCACUGGCGCUCUCCAGACGGCAGUGCUGUGCUUGCCGGAUAGAUCUGCUGGGUGGACCUGCCAGCCGGCACCGGUUUAAUUCCCACUCCCCUUCCUUGCCCCGAAGACUUGGGAUAAAGGCCCAAAGUGCAUGCCCAGAGGGUGGCUGGAAACCCCCCAGUCCCAGCGAUUGUGGGGACCACCCAUGUUAAAGGAAGACUGGCCUCUUGGGAGAGCGCCAAGGCACACAUCCUCAGAAACCCUGGGGACCCAUCAGCCCCUCCCCAGGUUCCCCAGACACGCCGCCACAGCAAGAUGAACUUGGCCAGUGGCGCCCACUCUUCCCGCUGGUCUGGAGGCGGUGGGUUCAUGCCCAGAUGCCAAGGCCCAGAAGCAGAGUGACGGACAAGGCCAGAGACAAAGGAAGAGAAAGGAGACGCUGGGGGAAGGGAGAGGGAAUGAAAAGUAUUUGGAAUGGCAAAUAGGGGAGGGAGCUGAGGCCAAGAGAAGAAUCCAGCCCUUUCCUCUAGGGAGACAGAUGGAUGAGGCCAGGACCCAGCCCCGGGGGCAGGUUCCAGGCUCAGUCCAGGGCCUGAACUGUUGUGGGCCUCAGUUUCCCCAUCUGCGAAUGACGGGAUUCGGACCCGUACAUCCAAGAGCUUCUUCCAACACAAUUAACUGGUGACCAGACAACGUGCCUGGGAGGAGGAAGGAGGGAGCCAGAUGAACCUCGGCCUGAACCCCAAGUCCUGCUGGGCCUCCUGGGUCUCAGUGGGUGGAGGCCACCAUGGACUUGGAGAUCUGAAGCUCAGCCCACCUGCUGGCAAGGCCCCUGUGGGUAGGGGCAGCCUAAAGAACUCAGCAGAGGGGCUGGGCUCCUGAGAACGGCUGGGGGAGGGUCCCCCUGGGCAGCAAAGGCUGCAUGAAGGAAAAGACUAGCAAAGCGGGGGGUGCAGGGGGCAGCCGCGGACACUCAACCCAGGCGGGAGCAAAGCCUCAGCACAGCACCCACCACCCUGAAAUCCCCUCACCAGCUCAGAACCUGCCGGGAGAGCCGGGAGGAAGUGGCGGUCACUGGGAUUCACGCUGUUUCCAGACCAGACAGCAGUGGACACAGAGCUCAGAGGCCCCGGCCUAGCCCACAACUCCCUCCCUGAGCCCCCACGGGAAGCAGCUGCCGCCUCUCACGCAUUCUUAAUUCAGUGAUUUCACUCCCUGGUGCUUGCCAAGGUAUUGGAUACCUGAGAAGCCAAAGAUUCACAUUCUCUACAGAGGCAGCUGCUGCCCCCAUCCUGGCCUGCUCAGAAGACUCUAAAGGCUGUUAGUGAGCAACAGAGCUGUGUGCUGAGUCCUGCCUGCCGCCCGGGUACCCUCCGAGAACAAUCCUGAGAGCGUCCCAGGAAAAGGCCGGCAAGGCCGCCACGCCUGCCGCACCGGCUUCAUUCCCCUGUCUCAUCCUGCCCCCUGGCGUCAGGACUGCAGACACCUGAGCUGGCUCCUAACUAAGGCGGCCAAGGAUGGCUCUCCAGGCGGCCGUCCCCUACUCAACAGGGGUCUGCACCAGUCCUCCUCCGGGAAGGAUGGACCCACAUGGCCAUGAAGACGGGGAGUCCAGGUCUAACUCAAUCUCGGCUCCUCCUUGCUGUGUGAUCCUGAGCAAGGUGUGUCCCCUCUGUGCGCCUCCGUCUCCCCAGGUGUCAACAGUGGGCAAUGAAAGAACCCAUCUGUCUCACAGGGUUGCCGGGAGAAUCACGAGAUGAUCUGAGCAAGAGGAUCUGUGCCAGGCCCAAGCCAGGGCCCCCUCAAAACAUGCAGCCCUCAGAGGGGCUCAGCCACCAGCAGGUCUACGGCACCACCCACGGCAUAGCCACACAGCCAGGGGCUCCUCCUCUCCCAGAAUGCCCGCCUCCCCCAGUACCAGCCGCCGCUGUUGCAGGUGAACAGCCUAUUCUCUGCACAAGUGGGAGCCUGCAGCCACAUAGAAGUUAGGGUAGCUGGGGUGCUGCACUGCUUCUGAGUCCGCACAUCCUGCUUCUGCUUCAUCCUCGGGAGACUCUCGGGGACCCAGUGCCCAGCUUGAGAGAGAACCGGAAACUCCAGGCCUGGACCACAGGAGCUCAGUGGCAGCCCUGCCAUUUCAGGGAGUCAGACGUCCCUGACGCUGGGCGUCCUCGCAGCAGAGUUUAAAAAGC